rnacentral:rRNA from 1 species
UUUAAUGAGAGUUUGAUCCUGGCUCAGGACGAACGCUGGCGGCGUGCCUAAUACAUGCAAGUAGAACGCUGAGGUUUGGUGUUUACACUAGACUGAUGAGUUGCGAACGGGUGAGUAACGCGUAGGUAACCUGCCUCAUAGCGGGGGAUAACUAUUGGAAACGAUAGCUAAUACCGCAUAAGAGUAAUUAACACAUGUUGGUUAUUUAAAAGGAGCAAUUGCUUCACUGUGAGAUGGACCUGCGUUGUAUUAGCUAGUUGGUGAGGUAAAGGC